rfam:Camelus ferus unplaced genomic scaffold scaffold1561, whole genome shotgun sequence.
GGGUAUAUACAGCUCAGUGGUAGAGUGCCAGCUUAGCAUGCACAGGGUCCUGGGUUCAAUCCCCAGUACCUCCA